AUUGUCAACAAAAGGAAAUGCCAUGUUAUGAGAAGAAAAAACGUUUUAUAGUCUGCUUAACAAGGUUAAUAAACCAACCCUGAUUCGUUAUUCAUGCCAAUAAUAAAAUGGCCUAAAAUGC